rnacentral:rRNA from 1 species
CGGUUAAGUUAGAAAGGGCGCACGGUGGAUGCCUUGGCACUAGGAGCCGAUGAAGGACGGGACGAACACCGAUAUGCUUCGGGGAGCUGUAAGCAAGCUUUGAUCCGGAGAUUUCCGAAUGGGGAAACCCACCACUCGUAAUGGAGUGGUAUCCAUAUCUGAAUUCAUAGGAUAUGAGAAGGCAGACCCGGGGAACUGAAACAUCUAAGUACCCGGAGGAAGAGAAAGCAAAUGCGAUUCCCUGAGUAGCGGCGAGCGAAACGGGAUUAGCCCAAACCAAGAGGCUUGCCUCUUGGGGUUGUAGGACACUCUGUACGGAGUUACAAAGGAACGAGGUAGAUGAAGAGGUCUGGAAAGGCCCGCCAUAGGAGGUAACAGCCCUGUAGUCAAAACUUCGUUCUCUCCUGAGUGGAUCCUGAGUACGGCGGAACACGUGAAAUUCCGUCGGAAUCCGGGAGGACCAUCUCCCAAGGCUAAAUACUCCCUAGUGACCGAUAGUGAACCAGUACCGUGAGGGAAAGGUGAAAAGCACCCCGGAAGGGGAGUGAAAGAGAUCCUGAAACCGUGUGCCUACAAGUAGUCAGAGCCCGUUAACGGGUGAUGGCGUGCCUUUUGUAGAAUGAACCGGCGAGUUACGAUCCCGUGCAAGGUUAAGCAGAAGAUGCGGAGCCGCAGCGAAAGCGAGUCUGAAUAGGGCGCAUGAGUACGUGGUCGUAGACCCGAAACCAGGUGAUCUACCCAUGUCCAGGGUGAAGUUCAGGUAACACUGAAUGGAGGCCCGAACCCACGCACGUUGAAAAGUGCGGGGAUGAGGUGUGGGUAGGGGUGAAAUGCCAAUCGAACCUGGAGAUAGCUGGUUCUCUCCGAAAUAGCUUUAGGGCUAGCCUCAAGGUAAGAGUCUUGGAGGUAGAGCACUGAUUGGACUAGGGGCCCCUACCGGGUUACCGAAUUCAGUCAAACUCCGAAUGCCAAUGACUUAUCCUUGGGAGUCAGACUGCGAGUGAUAAGAUCCGUAGUCGAAAGGGAAACAGCCCAGACCGCCAGCUAAGGUCCCAAAGUAUACGUUAAGUGGAAAAGGAUGUGGAGUUGCUUAGACAACCAGGAUGUUGGCUUAGAAGCAGCCACCAUUUAAAGAGUGCGUAAUAGCUCACUGGUCGAGUGACUCUGCGCCGAAAAUGUACCGGGGCUAAACGUAUCACCGAAGCUGCGGACUGUUCUUCGAACAGUGGUAGGAGAGCGUUCUAAGGGCUGUGAAGCCAGACCGGAAGGACUGGUGGAGCGCUUAGAAGUGAGAAUGCCGGUAUGAGUAGCGAAAGAGGGGUGAGAAUCCCCUCCACCGAAUGCCUAAGGUUUCCUGAGGAAGGCUCGUCCGCUCAGGGUUAGUCGGGACCUAAGCCGAGGCCGAAAGGCGUAGGCGAUGGACAACAGGUUGAUAUUCCUGUACCACCUCCUCACCAUUUGAGCAAUGGGGGGACGCAGGAGGAUAGGGUAAGCGCGGUAUUGGAUAUCCGCGUCCAAGCAGUUAGGCUGGGAAAUAGGCAAAUCCGUUUCCCAUAAGGCUGAGCUGUGAUGGCGAGCGAAAUAUAGUAGCGAAGUUCCUGAUUCCACACUGCCAAGAAAAGCCUCUAGCGAGGUGAGAGGUGCCCGUACCGCAAACCGACACAGGUAGGCGAGGAGAGAAUCCUAAGGUGAUCGAGAGAACUCUCGUUAAGGAACUCGGCAAAAUGACCCCGUAACUUCGGGAGAAGGGGUGCUCUGUUAGGGUGCAAGCCCGAGAGAGCCGCAGUGAAUAGGCCCAGGCGACUGUUUAGCAAAAACACAGGUCUCUGCGAAGCCGUAAGGCGAAGUAUAGGGGCUGACGCCUGCCCGGUGCUGGAAGGUUAAGAGGAGCGCUUAGCGUAAGCGAAGGUGCGAAUUGAAGCCCCAGUAAACGGCGGCCGUAACUAUAACGGUCCUAAGGUAGCGAAAUUCCUUGUCGGGUAAGUUCCGACCCGCACGAAAGGCGCAACGAUCUGGGCACUGUCUCAACGAGAGACUCGGUGAAAUUAUAGUACCUGUGAAGAUGCAGGUUACCCGCGACAGGACGGAAAGACCCCGUGGAGCUUUACUGCAGCCUGAUAUUGAAUGUUGGUACAGCUUGUACAGGAUAGGUAGGAGCCUUGGAAACCGGAGCGCCAGCUUCGGUGGAGGCAUCGGUGGGAUACUACCCUGGCUGUAUUGACCUUCUAACCCGCCGCCCU